AGAACACCCAGUUACAUGUGGAUAUCAGAUAAAUAACAAGUCAUUGUCAAGCAUAAAUAUGUCCAUGCAACAUUUGGGAUAUACUUAUGCUAAACAAUGAUUCAUUGUUUUAUCUGAAAUCAGUUCUAACUUGGCAUCCUUUA
rnacentral:miRNA from 1 species